rnacentral:ncRNA from 1 species
UAAAUUCUUAGGAAAUCAAUUUUUGAUUUAUUUAUAUAUAAAUUUUAGUAAUAAUAAUAUUUAAAUAAUAUUUAAUUUGUAAUUAUUAAAAUUAUUGAUUAAAUAAUUUUUGAUUUAGAAAUUUAAUAAGUAUUAACUAAUUUUGUGCCAGCAGUUGCGGUUAUACAUAAGUUACAAUUGAUUUUUUUUAAGAUGUAAGAAAAAAUAUUAUAAUUUAUAAAAUUUGUUAUUAUAAGGUGAAAUUUUAAUAAUUUAAUUUAAUUAUAUUUAAUUUGUUUUAUGAAAUUUUUGUAAUAAACUAGGAUUAGAUACCCUAUUAUUAAAAAUAUAAAAUUAUUCUUAGAAUAGUAUUAGUUAAGUUCUUGAAAUUUAAAAAAUUUGGCGGUAUUUUAAUCUUUUUAGAGGAACCUGUUCUAUAAUUGAUAUUCCACGAUUUAUUUUACUUUAUUUUUAGUUUAUAUAUCAUUGUAAUUAAAUAUAUUAUAAGAUUAUAUUUAAUUUUUAUAAUUAUAAUUUAAAUCAAAUCAAGGUAUAGCUUAUAAUAAAGAAAGAAAUGGGUUACAUUAAAUUUAUUUAUGAAUAUUUGAUUGAAAAUUAUUUUGAAAUUGGAUUUAAUAGUAAUUAAAUAUAAUUAUAUUUUAUGAUUUUAGCUCUAAAAUAUGUACAUAUUGCCCGUCGCUCUUGUUAUAAAAUUAGAUAAGUCGUAACAAAGUAGAUUUACUGGAAAGUGUAUCUAGAAAGAC